rnacentral:rRNA from 1 species
AUUGAACGCUGGCGGCAUGCUUUACACAUGCAAGUCGAACGGUAACAGGCCGCAAGGUGCUGACGAGUGGCGAACGGGUGAGUAAUGCAUCGGAACGUGCCCAGUCGUGGGGGAUAAAGCAGCGAAAGCUGCGCUAAUACCGCAUACGAUCUAUGGAUGAAAGCGGGGGACCGUAAGGCCACGCGCGAUUGGAGCGGCCGAUGUCAGAUUAGGUAGUUGGGGGGGUAAAGGCUCACCAAGCCAACGAUCUGUAGCUGGUCUGAGAGGACGACCAGCCACACUGGGACUGAGACACGGCCCAGACUCCUACGGGAGGCAGCAGUGGGGAAUUUUGGACAAUGGGCGCAAGCCUGAUCCAGCAAUGCCGCGUGCAGGAAGAAGGCCUUCGGGUUGUAAACUGCUUUUGUACGGAACGAAAAGGCUCUGGUUAAUACCUGGGGCUCAUGACGGUACCGUAAGAAUAAGCACCGGCUAACUACGUGCCAGCCGCCGCUGUAACAC